AACAUUUCUUUUAGAUUAUUUUAAAAGUAAAGUCUGCCCACUGUAUAAAAUAAAGGGCCGCGGUAUUUUGACCGUGCAAAGGUAGCAUAAUCAUUAGUCUCUUAAUUGGGGAAUGGAAUGAAUGGCUUAAUGAUUUUUUUCUUUUAUUUAUAUUAAAUUAUAAAUUUGAUUUUAAGUGAAAAUACUUAAAUUUAUUAAUUAGACGAUAAGACCCUAUAGAAUUUUAUUUUUAUUAUUAUUUAUAUUUUUUUAAAAAUUUAAAUGGGGCAUUUUUUGAAUAAAAAUAAUUUCUUUAAGAUUUUAAAAAAUAUCUUUAUUGUUAGAUUUUAAAAAAAUUACCUUAGGGAUAACAGCGUAAUAAUUUUUGAGAGUUCAUAUCGACAAAAUAGUUUGCGACCUCGAUGUUGAAUUAAAAUGCCUUUAUAAAGCAGCUUUUAUAAAAGGUAGUCUGUUCGACUAUAAAAAUUUUACAUGAUUUGAGU
rnacentral:rRNA from 1 species